GACUCCAUCGUCUAAUCGGUUAGGACGACGGCCUCUCAAGCCGUUAACACGGGUUCAAGUCCCGUUGGAGUCGCCA
rnacentral:tRNA from 1 species